CGCUGAGAAGCUUUCUAAAGCAUUAGCCUUUUAAGUUAAAGAAGAAACACCCUUUCCUCAGCGG
rnacentral:tRNA from 1 species